AUUUGUCCAUGGUGAUUCAACCAUAACGAUGAUAAGUUUAGCUAAUCCAAAGUGAAAAGAUAAGUUGGAUAGUAAAAUAUGGUCCAAAUUACAAUUUACUCUUAUACCCUCCAUCCCAAAAUGAAGUUAUUUAUAUCACCCAACAUUUAUUUUAGAAUGUAGCUAUUUCUCCACCCAUCUCAACCAAUAAUGAUCAUUCUCCAUUUAAUUCUUUUCACCCACGUUCUCUUCCCAACCAAUUACAACUUUCUUUUCCACUUUCUUAAUACCCUUGCACAUGUCUGUAUAUGCAUAUAUUUUGGGAUGGAUGGAGUAUUUUAGAACAAAAGGAGUACUACCUCCACCCAAAAAUAACUUUAUUAGUAGUUCAUCAUGUUUGUCUCACAUAGACUUUAUUUUAAAGAAAUUAUUGUAUUAGUGUUUGGCAAAGUUGGGAAUAAGUGUAUUAAGAUUUGAAAAUGUAUAGGACAAAUACAUUAGGAUUUUGAAAAAGAAAUAAAGGACAUUUUAAUAUUUAUAACUUUGUAUAGAUAUUUGUAUGAUAGACAAAAAUGAAGUCUUUUGGGAUGGGG
rnacentral:lncRNA from 1 species